rnacentral:rRNA from 1 species
UGCUCCUACGGGACGCAGCAGUGGGGGAUAUUGCACAAUGGAGGAAACUCUGAUGCAGCGACGCCGCGUGAGGGAAGACGGUCUUCGGAUUGUAAACCUCUGUCUUUGGGGAAGAAAAUGACGGUACCCAAAGAGGAAGCUCCGGCUAACUACGUGCCAGCAGCCGCGGCAAUACGUAGGGAGCGAGCGUUGUCCGGAAUUACUGGGUGUAAAGGAGCGUAGGCGGGCGAGGAAGUUGAAUGUUAAAUCUACCGUCUUAACUGGUAGCUGCGUUCAAAACUUCUUGUCUUGAGUUAAGUAGAGGG